AUUGAGCGCUGGCGGCAGGCUUAACACAUGCAAGUCGGACGGUAACAGGGAGGAAGCUUGCUUUCUUUGCUGACGAGUGGCGGACGGGUGAGUAAUGCUUGGGAAUCUGUUUUAUGGAGGGAGAUAACUACGGGAAACUGUAGCUAAUACCGCGUAAUAUCGAGAGAUUAAAGUGUGGGACCGUAAGGCCACAUGCCAUAGAGUGAGCCCAAGUGGGAUUAGGUAGUUGGUGGGGUAAAGGCCUACCAAGCCGUCGAUCUCUAGCUGGUCUGAGAGGAUGACCAGCCACACUGGGACUGAGACACGGCCCAGACUCCUACGGGAGGCAGCAGUGGGGAAUAUUGCACAAUGGGCGCAAGCCUGAUGCAGCCAUGCCGCGUGAAUGAAGAAGGCCUUCGGGUUGUAAAGUUCUUUCGGUGGUGAGGAAGGUUGUAAUGUUAAUAGCAUUAUAAUUUGACGUUAGCCACAGAAGAAGCACCGGCUAACUCCGUGCCAGCAGCCGCGGUAAUACGGAGGGUGCGAGCGUUAAUCGGAAUAACUGGGCGUAAAGGGCACGCAGGCGGAUACUUAAGUGAGGUGUGAAAGCCCUGGGCUUAACCUAGGAAUUGCAUUUCAUACUGGGUAUCUAGAGUAUUUUAGGGAGGGGUAGAAUUCCACGUGUAGCGGUGAAAUGCGUAGAGAUGUGGAGGAAUACCGAAGGCGAAGGCAGCCCCUUGGGGGAAUACUGACGCUCAUGUGCGAAAGCGUGGGGAGCAAACAGG
rnacentral:rRNA from 1 species